CCUACGGGAGGCAGCAGUGAGGAAUAUUGGUCAAUGGACGAGAGUCUGAACCAGCCAAGUAGCGUGAAGGAUGACUGCCCUAUGGGUUGUAAACUUCUUUUAUAUGGGAAUAAAAUGUUCCACGUGUGGGAUUUUGUAUGUACCAUAUGAAUAAGGAUCGGCUAACUCCGUGCCAGCAGCCGCGGUAAUACGGAGGAUCCGAGCGUUAUCCGGAUUGAUUGGGUUUAAAGGGAGCGUAGGUGGGUUGUUAAGUCAGUUGUGAAAGUUUGCGGCUCAACCGUAAAAUUGCAGUUGAAACUGGCAGUCUUGAGUACAGUAGAGGUGGGCGGAAUUCGUGGUGUAGCGGUGAAAUGCUUAGAUAACACGAAGAACUCCGAUUGCGAAGGCAGCUCACUGGACUGCAACUGACACUGAGGCUCGAAAGUGUGGGUAUCAAACAGGAUUAGAUACCCCGGUAGUC
rnacentral:rRNA from 1 species